rnacentral:rRNA from 1 species
CAAGUCGAGCGGUAGAGAGAAGCUUGCUUCUCUUGAGAGCGGCGGACGGGUGAGUAAUGCCUAGGAAUCUGCCUGGUAGUGGGGGAUAACGCUCGGAAACGGACGCUAAUACCGCAUACGUCCUACGGGAGAAAGCAGGGGACCUUCGGGCCUUGCGCUAUCAGAUGAGCCUAGGUCGGAUUAGCUAGUUGGUGGGGUAAUGGCUCACCAAGGCGACGAUCCGUAACUGGUCUGAGAGGAUGAUCAGUCACACUGGAACUGAGACACGGUCCAGACUCCUACGGGAGGCAGCAGUGGGGAAUAUUGGACAAUGGGCGAAAGCCUGAUCCAGCCAUGCCGCGUGUGUGAAGAAGGUCUUCGGAUUGUAAAGCACUUUAAGUUGGGAGGAAGGGCAGUAACCUAAUACGUUGCUGUCUUGACGUUACCGACAGAAUAAGCACCGGCUAACUCUGUGCCAGCAGCCGCGGUAAUACAGAGGGUGCAAGCGUUAAUCGGAAUUACUGGGCGUAAAGCGCGCGUAGGUGGUUUGUUAAGUUGGAUGUGAAAUCCCCGGGCUCAACCUGGGAACUGCAUUCAAAACUGACAAGCUAGAGUAUGGUAGAGGGUGGUGGAAUUUCCUGUGUAGCGGUGAAAUGCGUAGAUAUAGGAAGGAACACCAGUGGCGAAGGCGACCACCUGGACUGAUACUGACACUGAGGUGCGAAAGCGUGGGGAGCAAAC